AUACGGAGGGUGCAAGCGUUAAUCGGAAUUACUGGGCGUAAAGAGUACGUAGGUGGUUUAUUAAGUCAGAUGUGAAAGCCCCGGGCUCAACCUGGGAACUGCAUUUGAAACUGGCAUACUAGAGUAUAGGAGAGGAAAGUGGAAUUUCAGGUGUAGCGGUGAAAUGCGUAGAUAUCUGAAGGAACAUCAAUGGCGAAGGCAGCUUUCUGGACUAAUACUGACACUGAGGUACGAAAGCGUGGGUAGCAAACAGGAUUAGAAACCCUAGUAGUCC
rnacentral:rRNA from 1 species